AGUAUAAGCAGAAGCAGCAAGAACAUGCAGAGAAGACAGCAACCCAGGUGAUGAGGAAAAGGAACUUACUCUUGACACACUAUCUUGGCCUGUAUUCUUUACCUCUUCUUUCUCUUCUCCACCCUAUACCUUCUGCUUAGUCAGAGUUUCUGCUUACUCAUGACUUCACCUUAUUCUUGGUCUCACCAGUAUCAUGGUGUGGAUUGCUACAUAAUAUCCUAAACUGAUUUGACCCAGAACCCUUUUUUUAGAAACAGCAAAAGGUAAUUGUCAGCAAAACCUUCUGGGCUUUACACAGAACAAGCAAGAACAGGUUUCCUCUUCCAACUUGAUAAGGCUCCUCAUGACAUCCUAGGAUCCAAAAUAACUCAUGUUAUAACUAAUGUGGUGACCACAUUUGGAUCAGGAUGUGGGUUUCCCUAAGGCAGGAGGCUUGACAAGACAACCAAGAUUCUUUGCAGGCAAGCAAGUUAUUGUGCCUGCAAUUUUCCUGGAUCCUCAAGUUACUUAACACCUCUGAGUCUCAAUUCCUGGGGCAAUAAAAUGGAGGAAAUCACCCACUUCAUUGACUUGGAAUAAGAAAUGAAAUACAUGUAAAAUGGCUGGUACCUAGUCAGUACUCAGUGAGUAUUAGUUCUCUCUCCCCAAAUUUUAAUAUCAUUUACUAUAUGAAGUAGUACUCAAUUAUCUUCAUUUGCUCAAAUGCCUUAAAAUUUAUACAAUGGAAUAGUAUUAUUCUACAUAUGACAAUUUAAACAAAGAAUCGGGAUUUUUUUUUAACCUAAAAAAAGUUUUGCUGCAGUUUUUCAAACGUUUUUAUUGGAUUUAAAAUUCAUUUAAGGGAUAUACAGAUAUGCAACUAGUUUGAUCAGCUACCAAUAUAUUUUGGUAUCCCUU